UACGUAGGAUGCAAGCGUUGUCCGGAAUUAUUGGGCGUAAAGAGCGCGCAGGCGGUAUGACAAGUCAGAUGUGAAAGAGGCCGGCUUAACCGGCAAGGGUCAUUUGAAACUGUCAGACUAGAGUGCAGCAGAGGAUAGUGGAAUUCCCGGUGUAGUGGUGAAAUGCGUAGAUAUCGGAAGGAACACCAGUGGCGAAGGCGGCUAUCUGGACUGACACUGACGCUGAGGCGCGAAAGCGUGGGGAGCAAACAGG
rnacentral:rRNA from 1 species